GGAACUUGUAUAAACAAGUGGUACUUGUUGAGGCUAAUUUGUGAGUAUAAGAACAAAUUGGUAAGUUUUAAAUUAAAUGGAAACAUAAGGGUUUAAUUGCAAACUAUGGCAAAGUUGAGGGCUUAAUUAUUGAUAAUUUCAUUUUGUCCAAUUGUUAAAUGGAAGUAAGACCCAUUUUCUUUCAUUUCCUUGGGAGAAACUGAGAAGAAUCGAGGAACAUGAAGGAAAAAAAAAUGAAGAAAAAAGAGAAGAAGAAAAGGAAGAGGAAAAGAAGAAGAAAUGAGUUUUCAAUUCUUGGGUGCUCCAUUUCUACAAUUUCUCAUUUGAUUUUGAGAGACAGAAAGCAUAUGAUUUGAGCACUUUUGAAGCCUGUCGAACCACCGAAUUGAGCCACGCAUCAUAGGUUGUAUACAUCCUUUAUCAGAUUAUACAUUAGAUGUUCUUUUGGGAUGCAUGUAGCUUAAAUCAGAAAGGUUCAUUAUGAGCUCAUUAGGUAUUUGGUAUUUUUAUUAUAUUUGAGGAUUGUUGGUUGUAAAGCAAGUAAAUAUUGAUUUUCCAGCAUUUUAUUUGAAUAGUUUGUAUUUUGAGGGACUGGCAUACCCUGAUUUA